UACGUAGGGUGCGAGCGUUAAUCGGAAUUACUGGGCGUAAAGCGUGCGCAGGCGGUGAUGCAAGACAGAUGGGAAAUCCCCGGGCUCAACCUGGGAACUGCAUGUGUGACUGCAUCGCUGGAGUGCGGCAGAGGGGGAUGGAAUUCCGCGUGUAGCAGUGAAAUGCGUAGAUAUGCGGAGGAACACCGAUGGCGAAGGCAAUCCCCUGGGCCUGCACUGACGCUCAUGCACGAAAGCGUGGGGAGCAAACAGG
rnacentral:rRNA from 1 species